GAUGAACGCUGGCGGCGUGCCUAAUACAUGCAAGUCGAGCGAACAGACGAGGAGCUUGCUCCUCUGACGUUAGCGGCGGACGGGUGAGUAACACGUGGAUAACCUACCUAUAAGACUGGGAUAACUUCGGGAAACCGGAGCUAAUACCGGAUAAUAUAUUGAACCGCAUGGUUCAAUAGUGAAAGACGGUUCUGCUGUCACUUAUAGAUGGAUCCGCGCCGCAUUAGCUAGUUGGUAAGGUAACGGCUUACCAAGGCAACGAUGCGUAGCCGACCUGAGAGGGUGAUCGGCCACACUGGAACUGAGACACGGUCCAGACUCCUACGGGAGGCAGCAGUAGGGAAUCUUCCGCAAUGGGCGAAAGCUUGACGGAGCAACGCCGCGUGAGUGAUGAAGGUCUUCGGAUCGUAAAACUCUGUUAUUAGGGAAGAACAAAUGUGCAAGUAACUAUGCACGUCUUGACGGUACCUAAUCAGAAAGCCACGGCUAACUACGUG
rnacentral:rRNA from 1 species